rnacentral:lncRNA from 1 species
GUGAGCGGGAGGCUGCUGUAACUAGCACAGUGAGCAGGGGGCUGGCUGUAACUAGCACAGUGAGCAGGAGGCUGGCUGUAACUAGCACAGUGAGCAGGAGGCUGCUGUAACUAGCACAGUGAGCAGGAGGCUGGCUGUAACUAGCACAGUGACCAGGGGGCUGGCUGUAACUAGCACAGUGAGCAGGAGGCUGCUGUAACUAGCACAGUGAGCAGGAGGCUGGCUGUAACUAGCACAGUGAGCAGGAGGCUGCUGUAACUAGCACAGUGAGCAGGGGGCUGGCUGUAACUAGCACAGUGAGCAGGAGGCUGGCUGUAACUAGCACAGUGAGCGGGAGGCUGGCUGUAACUAGCACAGUGAGCAGGAGGCUGGCUGUAACUAGCACAGUGAGCAGGAGGCUGCUGUAACUAGCACAGUGAGCAGGAGGCUGGCUGUAACUAGCACAGUGAGCAGGAGGCUGGCUGUAACUAGCACAGUGAGCAGGAGGCUGCUGUAACUAGCACAGUGAGCAGGAGGCUGGCUGUAACUAGCACAGUGACCAGGGGGCUGGCUGUAACUAGCACAGUGAGCAGGGGGCUGGCUGUAACUAGCACAGUGAGCAGGAGGCUGGCUGUAACUAGCACAGUGAGCAGGAGGCUGCUGUAACUAGCACAGUGAGCAGGAGGCUGGCUGUAACUAGCACAGUGACCAGGGGGCUGGCUGUAACUAGCACAGUGAGCAGGAGGCUGCUGUAACUAGCACAGUGAGCAGGAGGCUGGCUGUAACUAGCACAGUGAGCAGGAGGCUGCUGUAACUAGCACAGUGAGCAGGGGGCUGGCUGUAACUAGCACAGUGAGCAGGAGGCUGGCUGUAACUAGCACAGUGAGCGGGAGGCUGGCUGUAACUAGCACAGUGAGCAGGAGGCUGCUGUAACUAGCACAGUGAGCAGGAGGCUGGCUGUAACUAGCACAGUGAGCAGGAGGCUGCUGUAACUAGCACAGUGAGCAGGGGGCUGGCUGUAACUAGCACAGUGAGCAGGGGGCUGGCUGUAACUAGCACAGUGAGCAGGGGGCUGGCUGUAACUAGCACAGUGAGCGGGAGGCUGCUGUAACUAGCACAGUGAGCAGGAGGCUGCUGUAACUAAAGGUGUUUAUCAGAGUGCAAGUUCAGUUUCUGAUGAAUGAGCCUGCCUUUGUAGGGAUAAAAACCCAUUUUCAGGAAUUUUUCCCCUGUGCCCAUAUCUUCAAGGCUUUUCCCCACUUUCUCCUCUAUAAGUUUCAGUGUCUCUGGUUUUAU